rnacentral:rRNA from 1 species
AGUGAACGCUGGCGGCAGGCCUAACACAUGCAAGUCGAGCGGAUGAAGGGAGCUUGCUCCUGGAUUCAGCGGCGGAGUGGCGGGUAAUGGCUAGGAAUCUGCCUGGUUGUGGGUGAUAACGUCCGGAAACGGGGGCUAAUACGGCAUACGUCCUGAGGGAGAAAGUGGGGGAUCUUCGGACCUCACGCUAUUAGAUGAGCCUAGGUCGGAUUAGCUAGUUGGUGGGGUAAAGGCCUACCAAGGCGACGAUCCGUAACUGGUCUGAGAGGAUGAUCAGUCACACUGGAACUGAGACACGGUCCAGACUCCUACGGGAGGCAGCAGUGGGGAAUAUUGGACAAUGGGCGAAAGCCUGAUCCAGCCAUGCCGCGUGUGUGAAGAAGGUCUUCGGAUUGUAAAGCCCUUUAAGUUGGGAGGAAGAGCAGUAAGUUAAUACCUUGCUGUUUUGACGUUACCAAAAGAAUAAGCACCGGCUAACUUCGUG